GUCAUUGACAAUAGAUAGCAUCUAUAUAACUAAUGAGCUCUCACUUGUGUAACUAUAAUGGUUUACUACCAUAUUUAUCGCUGACACUGACCCCAGAAAUUACUGAGAAUUUAAUCCUAAUCUCAGGGUACUUUGGUCUUCGUGUGAUUGUUCUACUAUGAGCAUGGGAAAGUGACUCUAGCUAUUGAGAGUAUUUGUCUUAAAUCUCCUCACAUCUUCUGUAUAUGUCAGAUAGUUUAGGUUGUUUGUCGAUUGUCUAACACAACCAUCACCUUUUAUAUGGGCUGGGGACUAUGUAAAGAACAGCAACAAGGACCAAGUGGGCAGUUUCCUGGACUUUUCAAGUGUAGCUUGUUUAAUGGUGAGUUUGGUGAUUUCCUUCUCAUAGACAUGAUACAGGACUAAAAUUGUUUUCAGGGAGGGUCCAUUUAUUAUCAGUGGUAGUCAUAAUUUCAGUUAUUUAGUGAAAUGAUUCUCACCGCUUAACUCUGUCAUCAAUCAAUGUGGGUCUACAGCGCCUUAGAGUUCCUUUGAGUUGUAUACAACUCAAAUGUACACGUUUAUCUUAGAACUUGACAUUUAGAAGCCUGUUUCCAGACAAGGGAAAUCCAAAUCUUGAAUUCACUGACCUACGUAUUAUUUAUAGAUUUAAACUAAGUGUUGUGAACUAAUAUUCCAAGAUUUUUGAAGUCAUUAUACUUUGUUGCCUACUUCUUUACUGUGGUCUCCGGAAUUUAUUCAUCUUUUCUUGAUUUUUAUCAUGAUUUUCUCGUGUUACCUUA
rnacentral:sRNA from 1 species